ACUAUUCUGAAGUGUUAGCGAGUGGAUGCUAUUUCCCUGAGCCGAUAAUGCUUUACCUGGAUGUGCUACCUAUCGUUUCAUUGUGUAUGCCUGCACUGCUUGCAGUGUAUCAGGAAACCUGCCGAGACGAUGACACAUCCGCCCUGAACUUCACGGUUCAUGGGUCACCAUCCCACGGCGGCACUUCGGUUGUUAU
rnacentral:other from 2 species